GGGGAAUAUUGCGCAAUGGGGGAAACCCUGACGCAGCAAUACCGCGUGAGUGAAGAAGGUUUUCGGAUCGUAAAGCUCUGUUAUUGGGGAAGAAAAAAAGACGGUACCCAAGAAGAAAGUCCCGGCUAACUACGUGCCAGCAGCCGCGGUAAUACGUAGGGGACAAGCGUUGUCCGGAUUUACUGGGCGUAAAGGGUUCGUAGGCGGCCUUAUAAGUCAGGGGUGAAAUCUCUCAGCUCAACUGAGAACUUGCCUUUGAUACUGUAUGGCUUGAAUAAUAUUGAAGUAACUAGAAUAUGUAGUGUAGCGGUGAAAUGCAUAGAUAUUACAUGGAAUACCAAUUGCGAAGGCAGGUUACUAAUUAUUUAUUGACGCUGAUGAACGAAAGCGUGGGUAGCGAACA
rnacentral:rRNA from 1 species